rnacentral:lncRNA from 1 species
ACCCGCCAGCCCCGCGCUCUACCAGGCAGAGCGCGUGUGGCCGCCGAGCACAUGGACCCACUGGUCAAGCGGGCUCGGCAAGGCCAGGAUGAAGAGAAGCUACGAACUUAGCAUUCCCAGAGCCCCCCGAGUGGAUAUCCGCGUGGAAAGGAUGUUGGCAGCCCCGGUGACCUCGGAGUCACGGCUGGAUCCACCCUCUUGUCUGAUUUUCUUAACUCUACUACGGUAAGAAGAUGCCCUCCAUCAGCAGGCCGUGUCUGCUGGGACCUCUCUGGAGACUUCCUGAACCCUGUGGAUUUACAGUAAGAUGCAGUUUCCUGGGGAGUAAUUCUGGUGGAUACAAAUUCCGGAGUAUUACACCUGGCUUGCCUGGAGAUGUUACAAGUAGCUGGAUGGAUUCUUCAGCCUGGAUGCCCACUGAAAACAAGGACCGAAACUAAGAGGAUUGUAUCUCUACCCUUGACUCAAUGAGAAUGUUUGUUGUCAUCUCUCGGGCUACCUGGAGCUCCCUCUAAAAUUAUACCCUUUAAGCGUUCCAGAAGGAUUUUGAGAUCCUUUCCUAAAUCAAAGGUGGAAUAUUUGGGGAUUUGGAAAAUUGAGCAUUUUUUUCCCCACUUGCUUGACUGUAAUGCUAACAUGCUCUCUCUGCUCCAACCUGGAGAAGCCAGUCUCUCAGAAGAACCAGUUGUGUUACUUUGCUGUGAGAUGCCUGCCCUAAGAGAGGAGCAGAAGGUCGGAACGGGUCCUCUAAUGUGAUAAUUAGAUGUGAAGCGUUGACUUAAGAGAUGCCAAGUAACUCAGCAGAUGUCACACAGACGAUAAAUAGCAAAGAUGGAAGUCUUCAUGCCGGAGGCAAUCCUAUAAGACAGCUGAGUUCUGCAGAGCUGGUAGGAGACAGACUUGCUCAGGUGAUAGAUCCAGCCAUGAUACUGACCCUAAGAGAAUGAGACGCUCUGCAGAAGACAGAAGAUUCCUGAAACUGGGAAAGGUGCCUAGAAAUCCUGAUAAGAGUGAAGAAGGGUACCUGGAGGCACAGCAGCCAUGUUGAACCUAUGAGGUGAUGAAAAACCAUGCAACUAGAAACCAGAAUGGAAGAAAAGAAGAAGCUGGAUCCUUGACUGAAUUGUCGAUGGGGGAUAGUCCAUCAUCCCAGGGCUAAGACCACCUCCAGAUUUCUUGUUUGGUGAAACAAGUCCUGAUUGUUUACAUUCCCUCGUGUUGAGCUGUCUCUUGCUUGUAGCUGAAAGCAUUUCUAAUAGAUAUUCAGAUUAUCAGCCUUAGCUCCAAGCUAGAAUACUCUAUGGGACCUUAGCUUCUCCAUGAAUUCCUUUGCUCAUCUGUGUAAUGCUCAAUAAAUGUAAAUUGAACCCUGAAUGAGGGACAAUGACACUAUUGAAGUCAUGAUUGUCAAUCUUAUUAACGGACUAACUACUUAACAAAAAGGUUGGAACACUGCCUGACGCACAGUAAGCGGCUGGGGAAAGGGUUUGCCAAAUGGAGUGACAAGAAAACAGUCAUGUUUAUAGGCUUUCUUUUACAUCUUGAUCCAUCUUCAAGCCUCUGUGGUCUUUAAGCAGAACCUUGACCCCUUCAGUACUGGGGCUCCUGGAGCAUGACACGCCCCCUAAACUCUUGUCUCAAAACACCCACUCUAGCAGUUUCUUUUUGACAAAAAAAAAGCCUUCUUAGUGAAUGCUGGCUUGUGAAAAAGAAGGGGCUGUGAUCAUCAAAUCGUGUUAGUAGAUGACCAAAAUACCCAAAGCAAUUCAUGCAAAUAGAUUCAAGUCUCUCUGGGCAAGCCUUCCUGAAGGCUCUAGAAUUUCUGAAGCUCAUUUUUGAAAGGGUCUUUCCAUAUGGUGGCCUUUUUCUUUUUUGCACCUCCUCCCUUCUUUCUCAUCAGAGCUAAAGGGAUGCUCAGACUCUCUGUCCUUUCUGUGUAGUGAGGGACCAGGCUGCUGGGCGAGUGUGAAGGAGCGAGUGUGAUUUGGGAUAUUCUUUUCUGGUAUGGCAAUGGCCAGCCUUUAGAGAGGUCAUUUGAAGUUGGCCAACAAGUAGACAUUAUUUCAAAAUAGUUCUUGAUCAUUAAAGAACCAACCAGUAUGUCUUAAAAACAAACAAACCAAUCUUUUGGAAAGUUUCUGCUGAAUGUGUGCCCUUCCGACUCACUUCUUAUCCUUUCUGUCAGAAACACCCCAGAAAAGGGGGUCUUGCCUUUGAACCACUCUGCUACUUUAAUCUUCCUGCUUCUGUCUGACCUACCUUCCUUCUUUCAGUAGCCAGGAUCCUUUCAGAGUGAGCUCCAAAAGGUGGGGAUUCUCCAGCCACGAGUGCCCUCUGAAAUUCUAUCUUACUUAGAAUAAAAUAUCUAGAUUUAUACAGUGUCCCCUUGUAUGGGUGGUGGCUUUUUUUUUUUUUCUAUCAUUUUCCUGCUUGUUCACACCACUCUCUCCCUGGCCUUCUUAUGUCACAGAUUUCCUGAGUACACUCUGGCCUCAGUCUUUCCAUGAAGUAACUCUCCUUUCUAGAACAUUCUUGCCUGCAUAACUAUCUGCUUCUGUCCUCACUGUAUUCUGAUCUGUAUUUCUAUGUCAAUUUCCAGACAGGCAUUCUCUGCCCAUCCUCUAAAGUGUGCCCCCUGUCUUCUUUGCUGUUACCUGUAUGCCCUAAGUCUAAGUCACUGACCUUAUUGUAGACUAAAUUUGUUAGCAUUUCUUUCCAGGAUGCAAGCCUAGUGAUGAAGGAGUCAUUGUUCCAUUGUCAGAAUAGCUACAGAAUCCAGCCUGUUCUGCCCUGGAUGCUUUAUUAAGUAAUGAAGCUCAAUAAAACAAUUUGACCAA